CAAGAACCCAACACAGCGUCCCCCAAUCACUAGUACUCUAGUAUGGGAGCGCUUAACUGGCGCCCGAGCAGGGACCCACAUUCUUCACGGAAAUAAAGGGAAAUGGUGACGUGUCAAUAAUUCUAUAAAAAUAACUUAUUAAAAAAAGCAAGUACAAAUAAAUUGUUCCAAUCCAAUUGGGCAAUUGUUGGCAAAAUUACGAAGUACUUCUGCGAUUUGCAAACAAGUGUUGGUGCACUAGAUAAUUCUAUAACAUAAAAGAAAUCGUGGCUAAAUGGUGGUAUUGGCAAUACCUAGGUCAAAUCCGUGUCGAGACGAGUCUUAAAACGAAAAUACAAGAAAUUUGCAGGCAUAAUGGUGGUACGAGAUUGAUUCUCGUAUUGAGGUUCAAGUCCUUGCCGUAAGACAAAUGUCAUAAAAAAUAAACGUCACAAUUUCCACCUGUGUUGAAUGAUGGGUUUCCGUAUAAAUUAAAAGAAACCUAGUGGUCAAAGUUAAGUUUAAAGCACUAACUAUAUAACAAAAUUAAAAGCCGGUUGUCUGGAAAUCUCUAAUCAACAAACAAAGCAUAAAUAUGCAAAAAUAAAAACAUGAAUUGCAGAGACCUUCUAUUCGAUCGUGGAAUAACCCUUACCCUAGUAGGUCUUAGAACCAAAGAGGAAUACUUUGGGCUUCCCUUUCGGAAGGGAAUAAGUCUGGCAACAAUAUAUAAAAGAAAAAAGUAAAAUAAAUAAAUAAAUGAAACGAAAGCAAGAGAGAGACCAGAUGAUUGUGGAACCACCCUCACCUAAGUAGGUCUUACACCAAAAAGGAUCCUGAGGGCUUCCCAAGCCAUAUAAAAUAAUAAAAACUGUUUGCCGGUUCGGUAACAAAAGAUAAUACAACUAGUAAUUGGUAAUUCAAGUAAUUCUAUAACAGACAACACAAUAACACACGUAGUAAUACACAUAACACACGUAAUUCAAUACAAUUAGUAAUUCAAUGAAAUAAUAUAAAAGAAACAAUCAAAUUAAGACUAAGGA